rnacentral:lncRNA from 1 species
AGUGCUCAGACUCCAACUAAUCUAAAAUCAAAUAGGCCAGUUUCUUCUCCCUCUUGCUUCAGGUGAAACUGUCUGCAUUACAUCACCAUAUCCUGGAAAUCCAGGUCCCCCAGGUUUUAAAGGCGUUCAAGGACAAAAAGGUUUAAAAGGACUCCCUGGGCAUCCUGGACCAAAUGGCUUUGAUGGGCAAAAAGGCAAUCGAGGAAGGCCAGGAGCAGGAAUCCCUGGGCCAGAAGGUGAAUUGUGCUUUCCCUAAUUUGGGAAAGCUGCUGGGCAAGUUGUAAUGCAAGGAAAGAUAGAGUA